AUUUUUUUUUAUUGCACCAUUCAAUUCAGCGUACACGAAUACACCUUCUCACAAAUUUUCAUUAAGAUAUCAGUAAAAAUGAAGAAAUUAUUACAAAAACAAUGAAAUUGUGCAACAUUGAUAAAAAUAUUUUUCCCCCAUAAUAAGAAAGUUUACACAGAAGCAGAUCCUACCUACCUACCUACCUGACGACCUACUUGACAUUCCACUAAUACUGCAACCCAAUCCAGUACAACCCAGUGGAAGAAUGAC